rnacentral:rRNA from 1 species
GAUGAACGCUGACAGAAUGCUUAACACAUGCAAGUCUACUUGAUUCUACUUCGGUAGUUGAUGGUGGCGGACGGGUGAGUAACGCGUAAAGAAUCUGCCCUUUAGUUUGGGAUAACCUUUGGAAACGAAGGCUAAUACCGGAUAUUAUGGAGACGUCGCAUGGCGAAUCCAUGAAAGCUAUAUGCGCUAGAGGAGGACUUUGCGUCCCAUUAGUUAGUUGGUGAGGUAAUGGCUCACCAAGACCGCGAUGGGUAGCCGGCCUGAGAGGGUGAUCGGCCACAAGGGAACUGAGACACGGUCCUUACUCCUACGGGAGGCAGCAGUGGGGAAUAUUGGACAAUGGGCCACAAGCCUGAUCCAGUAAUUCUGUGUGCACGAUGAAGGUCUUCGGAUUGUAAAGUGCUUUCAGUAGGGAAGAAAAAAAUGACGGUACCUACAGAAGAAGCGACGGCUAAAUAUGUGCCAGCAGCCGCGGUAA